AUGUUUUGUAUUUCUUUGUUUUGGCCAGGUAUGGUUCUCAAUCAGGGACAGCUGACUAUCGUUGUCUCUGAUUGGGAACCAUACUUAGGCAGCCCUUUUUCCCACCCUAAUAAUAAUGAUAAUUCCAGUGUACUCCCUUCAAUCAUUAGUUGUAAACUUCCUCAAUGGUCAUAUGUACUGCACCUUGGUCUUCCUCAAUGGUCAUAUGUACUGCACCUUGGUCUUCCUCAAUGGUCAUAUGUACUGCACCUUGGUCUUCCUCAAUGGUCAUAUGUACUGCACCUUGGUCUUCCUCAAUGGUCAUAUGUACUGCACCUUGGUCUUCCUCAAUGGUCAUAUGUACUGCACCUUGGUCUUCCUCAAUGGUCAUAUGUACUGCACCUUGGUCUUCCUCAAUGGUCAUAUGUACUGCACCUUGGUCUUCCUCAAUGGUCAUAUGUACUGCACCUUGGUCUUCCUCAAUGGUCAUAUGUACUGCACCUUGGUCUUCCUCAAUGGUCAUAUGUACUGCACCUUGGUCUUCCUCAAUGGUCAUAUGUACUGCACCUUGGUCUUCCUCAAUGGUCAUAUGUACUGCACCUUGGUCUUCCUCAAUGGUCAUAUGUACUGCACCUUGGUCUUCCUCAAUGGUCAUAUGUACUGCACCUUGGUCUUCCUCAAUGGUCAUAUGUACUGCACCUUGGUCUUCCUCAAUGGUCAUAUGUACUGCACCUUGGUCUUCCUCAAUGGUCAUAUGUACUGCACCUUGGUCUUCCUCAAUGGUCAUAUGUACUGCACCUUGGUCUUCCUCAAUGGUCAUAUGUACUGCACCUUGGUCUUCCUCAAUGGUCAUAUGUACUGCACCUUGGUCUUCCUCAAUGGUCAUAUGUACUGCACCUUGGUCUUCCUCAAUGGUCAUAUGUACUGCACCUUGGUCUUCCUCAAUGGUCAUAUGUACUGCACCCUGGUCUUCCUCAAUGGUCAUAUGUACUGCACCUUGGUCUUCCUCAAUGGUCAUAUGUACUGCACCUUGGUCUUCCUCAAUGGUCAUAUGUACUGCACCUUGGUCUUCCUCAAUGGUCAUAUGUACUGCACCUUGGUCUUCCUCAAUGGUCAUAUGUACUGCACCUUGGUCUUCCUCAAUGGUCAUAUGUACUGCACCUUGGUCUUCCUCAAUGGUCAUAUGUACUGCACCCUGGUCUUCCUCAAUGGUCAUAUGUACUGCACCUUGGUCUUCCUCAAUGGUCAUAUGUACUGCACCUUGGUCUUCCUCAAUGGUCAUAUGUACUGCACCUUGGUCUUCCUCAAUGGUCAUAUGUACUGCACCUUGGUCUUCCUCAAUGGUCAUAUGUACUGCACCUUGGUCUUCCUCAAUGGUCAUAUGUACUGCACCUUGGUCUUCCUCAAUGGUCAUAUGUACUGCACCUUGGUCUUCCUCAAUGGUCAUAUGUACUGCACCUUGGUCUUCCUCAAUGGUCAUAUGUACUGCACCUUGGUCUUCCUCAAUGGUCAUAUGUACUGCACCUUGGUCUUCCUCAAUGGUCAUAUGUACUGCACCUUGGUCUUCCUCUUUCGACAGCUGUGAAAAUGUAUUUCAAGGCCUACCUUCAAACUCAGUGGCUCUUUGCUUGA
rnacentral:lncRNA from 1 species